CCAGUUGUGUCGGGGGAGGGCGGAGAUGAGGUGAGAGAGGAGCCCGAAGAAAACUCUUCAGAUACAGAAGGACGGGGGGCCAAAGUGCCAACAGGAGGAAGAGAUGGGGAGUACUGGUUUUGGAGCUCCAGCACGGAAUCUCUGGCCCCCCCUAUAAGGCUGUGACCUAGGAGUACAGGCAAAUGGGGAUCCUGUUUGUCACUGCUACCAUCGGCUGGGGGCUUCCAGUGAGUUACCAAAAGGACCCAAAGACCACUCAGAGCAGAAGCUCCUAGUGUCCCCCUUCCAGGGUCAGAAGCCCUCUUCAAAAGGGAAGCCAAAAUGCAUGAGACUAUCACUCACAGUGGGUAGGAGAAAAGGAGGCAGGAACUGCACAAGCUUUGAAAUUCAUUUUGACCUUCUAACUCUCAUGCUUAGGAUUACCAGGAGUCUACAUCCCCAUUUUUACAAAUGAAGAAACCAAACUUCAGAAAGAUACAGGCAUGCAAGUCUCUGAACAAGAAAUACAAGUGGCCAAUAAACUUAUGAAAAUUA